ensembl:snRNA
GUGUUAUAUGAAAGGAGAGGCUAGAUGCCCCUUGACAAGUAUGGAAGAUGUUUCAGCCUACAACUCACAUACAGUUAUGGCAAAAUCAAUACUCCAU